AGUGAACGCUGGCGGUAGGCCUAACACAUGCAGGUCGAACGGCAGCACAGUAAGAGCUUGCUCUUACGGGUGGCGAGUGGCGGACGGGUGAGGAAUACAUCGGAAUCUACUUUUUCGUGGGGGAUAACGUAGGGAAACUUACGCUAAUACCGCAUACGACCUACGGGUGAAAGCAGGGGAUCUUCGGACCUUGCGCGAUUGAAUGAGCCGAUGUCGGAUUAGCUAGUUGGCGGGGUAAAGGCCCACCAAGGCGACGAUCCGUAGCUGGUCUGAGAGGAUGAUCAGCCACACUGGAACUGAGACACGGUCCAGACUCCUACGGGAGGCAGCAGUGGGGAAUAUUGGACAAUGGGCGCAAGCCUGAUCCAGUCAUACCGCGUGGGUGAAGAAGGCCUUCGGGUUGUAAAGCCCUUUUGUUGGGAAAGAAAAGCAGCAGGUUAAUACCCCGCUGUUCUGACGGUACCCAAAGAAUAAGCACCGGCUAACUUCGUG
rnacentral:rRNA from 1 species